GGAAGACGUAGUGUGUUAGUUCUUCAGUCUUCACAUUCUUUUAGUACGUCGUCGCUGUUAAAUAACCAACUUGGUUUUUGUUUCUAUUCAUUUACUUGUGAAAGUGUAAGAGGAGCGAGUACCAAAAGAUUGGGGAAGUUGGACACAUUUGAAAAACUAUUUUGAACAUCUUAAUUGGUUUUGAUGAAAAACUGAAGAAAUCACUGGCCUGUUAUAGCACAAGCCAGGUACCACGAGUAGAUUUCUUUGGCCAGGAUUCACACAUCUUGUGAGACCAUUCAUUGCAGAUCGAGCAUUCAAUUAUGGCCCAGACAUCUGUCCUUUUUGGAUUCCGGGGCUGAUAAAAGAUUCUUCUACAGUGGUAGUAAACUUUUGCUUUCUUAGAUUUAGAUGAGACUGACACUAAAUUGUCCUUGUUUGAAUUUGAUCUACGGAACGGAGAGAUCAAUUUGGAAGUCAGGCAACUUUUAAGGUAAUAUCUCAUGGCCUUUCUGCUGUAAAUGCAGUUCGAUGGAUCUUCCCCUAAUGCCAAUGAAAGUGCGUUAGCGAUGGCAUGUAAGCCGCAGUCAUUUGGUAGUUGCUUCUUGCAUCCAACACUUUGG